UACGAAGGGUGCGAGCGUUGUCCGGAUUUAUUGGGUUUAAAGGGUGCGUAGGUGGCUUUAUAAGUCAGUGGUGAAAUACGGUUGCUCAACAAUCGAGGUGCCAUUGAUACUGUAAAGCUUGAAAUAAUUGGAGGCUGCCGGAAUGGAUGGUGUAGCGGUGAAAUGCAUAGAUAUCAUCCAGAACACCGAUUGCGAAGGCAGGUGGCUACGAUUGGUUUGACACUGAGGCACGAAAGCAUGGGGAGCAAACAGGAUUAGAUACCCGAGUAGUCC
rnacentral:rRNA from 1 species